AACACAACAUAUAAUACCACUCUUUUAUGCUGUAAACCAACCGGCCAAUCCGGAAGUUGUUGUUGGAUCGCACCUCUUACUGCGCUACUACUCAGAAAGCCUUCCGCCGAUGUAAAGGCACUGAAAACUACGGACUUAAUGCUACAACAAGUAUCCUUGUUGCUUUGUGCAGGCCAGCAUGAGUCCACGUUGUCCAGACGCAGCCAACAUGUCUACCCAGUGGACAUUUAUGUCACACCAGUGACAGGCACAUCAACACACAAUGGGGCCUUCAUGUUACUUAUCACACCUGUACUUUUCCUGCUCAGGCAGAACAACUCUGUGCUGUAAAAACAGGCCAGCAAUGGUAUUGUUGGAUUUUGACGCGAAUGAAGUAAGACGGAAUUUAAUUAAACAUGCUUAAAGCCUA